rnacentral:rRNA from 1 species
AUUGAACGCUGGCGGCAGGCCUAACACAUGCAAGUCGAGCGGGGUUUUCGGACCUAGCGGCGGACGGGUGAGUAAUGCGUAGGAAGCUACCCGAUAGAGGGGGAUACCAGUUGGAAACGACUGUUAAUACCGCAUAAUGUCUACGGACCAAAGUGUGGGACCUUCGGGCCACAUGCUAUCGGAUGCGCCUACGUGGGAUUAGCUAGUUGGUGGGGUAAUGGCUCACCAAGGCGACGAUCCCUAGCUGGCUUGAGAGGAUGAUCAGCCACACUGGAACUGAGACACGGUCCAGACUCCUACGGGAGGCAGCAGUGGGGAAUAUUGGACAAUGGGCGCAAGCCUGAUCCAGCCAUGCCGCGUGUGUGAAGAAGGCCUUCGGGUUGUAAAGCACUUUCAGUAGGGAGGAAGCGUUGUGUGUUAAUAGUACACAGCGUUGACGUUACCUACAGAAGAAGCACCGGCUAACUCUGUGCCAGCCGCCGCGGUAAUAC